AGUGAACGCUGGCGGCAGGCCUAACACAUGCAAGUCGAACGGCAGCACAGGAGAGCUUGCUCUCUGGGUGGCGAGUGGCGGACGGGUGAGGAAUAAAUCGGAAUCUACCCUUUCGUGGGGGAUAACGUAGGGAAACUUACGCUAAUACCGCAUACGAACUGAGGUUGAAAGCGGCGGACCGCAAGGCGUCGCGCGGAUGGAUGAGCCGAGAUCCGAUUAGCUAGUUGGCGGGGUAAAGGCCCACCAAGGCGACGAUCGGUAGCUGGUCUGAGAGGAUGAUCAGCCACACUGGAACUGAGACACGGUCCAGACUCCUACGGGAGGCAGCAGUGGGGAAUAUUGGACAAUGGGCGCAAGCCUGAUCCAGCCAUGCCGCGUGUGUGAAGAAGGCCUUCGGGUUGUAAAGCACUUUUGUUGGGAAAGAAAAGCGGUCGGUUAAUACCCGGUCGUUCUGACGGUACCCAAAGAAUAAGCACCGGCUAACUUCGUGCCAGCAGCCGCAGUAACAC
rnacentral:rRNA from 1 species